rnacentral:rRNA from 1 species
UAGAGUUUGAUCCUGGCUCAGAUUGAACGCUGGCGGCAGGCUUAACACAUGCAAGUCGAGCGGAGCGAGGGUGCUUGCACCUUAGCUUAGCGGCGGACGGGUGAGUAAUGCUUAGGAAUCUGCCUAUUAGUGGGGGACAACAUUCCGAAAGGGAUGCUAAUACCGCAUACGCCCUACGGGGGAAAGCAGGGGAUCUUCGGACCUUGCGCUAAUAGAUGAGCCUAAGUCGGAUUAGCUAGUUGGUGGGGUAAAGGCCUACCAAGGCGACGAUCUGUAUCGGGUCUGAGAGGAUGAUCCGCCACACUGGGACAGAGACACGGCCCAGACUCCUACGGGAGGCAGCAGUGGGGAAUAUUGGACAAUGGGGGGAACCCUGAUCCAGCCAUGCCGCGUGUGUGAAGAAGGCCUUAUGGUUGUAAAGCACUUUAAGCGAGGAGGAGGCUACUCUAGUUAAUACCUAGGGAUAGUGGACGUUACUCGCAGAAUAAGCACCGGCUAACUCUGUGCCAGCAGCCGCGGUAAUUCAGAGGGUGCGAGCGUUAAUCGGAUUUACUGGGCGUAAAGCGUGCGUAGGCGGCUUAUUAAGUCGGAUGUGAAAUCCCCGAGCUUAACUUGGGAAUUGCAUUCGAUACUGGUGAGCUAGAGUAUGGGAGAGGAUGGUAGAAUUCCAGGUGUAGCGGUGAAAUGCGUAGAGAUCUGGAGGAAUACCGAUGGCGAAGGCAGCCAUCUGGCCUAAUACUGACGCUGAGGUACGAAAGCAUGGGGAGCAAACAGGAUUAGAUACCCUGGUAGUNNNUGCCGUAAACGAUGUCUACUAGCCGUUGGGGCCUUUGAGG